UUAAUUGGGGUAAAGGCAUUGGCUUGUGCCUGUGUGGUCCCCAUGGGCCCUGCCUCCUGCUGGUGUCCCCACUGUCCCGUUCCCCAGCCAUAAUCCCAAGGUCAGUGCUGGGCAGUUUUCAAGAGUGAAAUGGAGAGGAAGGGGGUAUAGAGGCAAGAACGGGCGUUCUGUGCUGGAUUCAUGGGAGUCUGGGUCUGAAGCCCUGGCAGGGGCACAGCCAUGUAUAUACCAGUACAUCCAGCCUCUUGCUGUCACCCUUAUACCUCACAAAUGUCAACCAGAAUCUGCAUCUGCUGGGAAGUAUCUCAGCGCAGUAGGUCUUUUUCUACUGGGCACGCAGUAUGGCCAGCAGGGCUAUAAAGAGCUGAGCAGGCG
rnacentral:lncRNA from 1 species